CAAAAAACUACGAGCGCAAGCUUAAAACUUAAAGGACUUGACGGUGUCCUAUCAAUCUAGAGGAGCCUGUUCUAUAAUCGAUAAUCCUCGCUACACCUCACCCCUCUUUGCUCAUCAGCUUGUAUACUUCCGUCGUAAGCUCACCACGUAAUUGCAUUAGUGAACUUAAUAAUUUAACCAUUAAAACGUCAGGUCAAAGUGCAGCCCAUAGAAGGGGAGAAAUGGGCUACAAUUUCUUACCUAAGAACAAACGAACUAGCAUCUUAAUAAUUGCUAUGAAGGUGGAUUUAGAAGUAAAGUAAAACCAGUGUGUUUACUUU
rnacentral:rRNA from 1 species